CAGCGCCACGAGUGGUAACCACGUUUAUUGGGCCUAAAGCGUCCGUAGCCGGUUUGAUAAAUCUUUUGUGAAAUUGCACAGCUUAACUGUACAGCGUGCAAGAGACACUGUCAAACUUGAGACCGGGAGGAGUCAGAAGUAUUCCAGAGGGAGCGGUAAAAUGUUAUAAUCUCUGGAGGACUACCUGUGGCGAAGGCGUCUGACCAGAACGGAUCUGACGGUGAGGGACGAAAGCUAGGGGAGCGAACCGGAUUAGAUACCCGAGUAGUCC
rnacentral:rRNA from 1 species